CACGUAGGGCGCAAGCGUUGUCCGGAAUCAUUGGGCGUAAAGAGCGUGUAGGCGGUCCGUUAAGUCGGCUGUGAAAGUCCAAGGCUCAACCUUGGGAUGCCGGUCGAUACUGCCGGACUAGAGUUCGGAAGAGGCGAGUGGAAUUCCCGGUGUAGCGGUGAAAUGCGCAGAUAUCGGGAGGAACACCUAUGGCGAAGGCAGCUCGCUGGGACGUUACUGACGCUGAGGCACGAAAGCGUGGGGAGCGAACAGG
rnacentral:rRNA from 1 species